rnacentral:rRNA from 1 species
AGACGGAGGGGGCUAGCGUUGUUCGGAAUUACUGGGCGUAAAGCGCGCGUAGGCGGAUUGGUCAGUUGGGGGUGAAAUCCCGAGGCUUAACCUCGGAACUGCCUUCAAAACUGCCAGUCUUGAGUCCGGGAGAGGUGAGUGGAAUUCCUAGUGUAGAGGUGAAAUUCGUAGAUAUUAGGAAGAACACCAGUGGCGAAGGCGGCUCACUGGCCCGGUACUGACGCUGAGGCGCGAAAGCGUGGGGAGCAAACAGGAUUAGAAACCCCGGUAGUCC